ACCCACCCCCGGCCUCUAUUUCUGCCCCGGCGACUUCGCUGGUCUUCGUGAUUCGGGGAUUUCUUCACUCUAAUUCUCAGUGGGUUUCCACUGUAAUUCCACUUAUUAGCUAUAAUUCCAAUUGGAUUUACAGUGCAAAUCAAGUUGCACUGAUAUCGUCAGUGGGUUUAGUGUAAUUGACGUCUUUUUUCAGUGUAUUUACAAGGAAGGUCAGAGUAAUUUACAGCCAAGUUGUAAUGUGACAAAAUAUCACAGUAAUCUCUCAAGAUAUGUUGAUUUUUGUAUUUUUUGAGUUUACUGGGGUCUAAUAGCAAGAGAAUUAAGUCGGUCAUUUUGGCUUCAUCUUACAUGGAGUGCAUCUUCAUCUUGUUGGUUUGCCCUCUGGAUCUUGGAGGAAUUCCCCCUGUGAUUUCUUCUUUGAUGGGGUGGACAAGCACAUCGACACAUUCAGGGGACAGGAGCAAAACGGAGGGCAUGUGACACUUGUUGAACUCUGUGUUGCCAAAAAAUAUGACUAAAAGGAUUUCAAUCGAAUGCAAAACAGACAGUCCCCGAAACACAUAUCUUGGAUUUAUUGGUGGAUUUACAGUGUCUUUUUAGUGGAUUUUACAGUAGUUUCUUUAAUGUUCCUUACAGUGUAAUUCUUAGUGUUUUAUCUUAUCAGUUUUUCAGUGCAAAAGUGUAAUUCUAGUGGAUUUUACACUGUAAUUGUUAGUGUUUAAUCUUAGCAAUUUUUUAGUGGAGUUACAAUGUAAUUUUAGUGGAUUUUUGCAGUGUCACUUUAAUGCAUCUUUCAUUAUAA